rnacentral:rRNA from 1 species
ACCGGAUAAGACAGCUGGAUGAUAGCCGGGCUGAAGACUCUGCUUGACUAGCUGAGAGGAGGUGCAUGGCCGUCGUCAGUUCGUACUGUGAAGCAUCCUGUUAAGUCAGGCAACGAGCGAGACCCACGCCAACAGUUGCCAGCUCGUCCUCCGGGAUGGUGGGGACACUGUUGGGACCGCCUCUGCUAAAGAGGAGGAAGGAAUGGGCAACGGUAGGUCAGCAUGCCCCGAAUUAUCUGGGCUACACGCGGGCUACAAUGGGUGGGACAAUGGGUAUCGACACCGAAAGGUGAAGGCAAUCUCCUAAACCCAUCCGUAGUUCGGAUUGUGGGCUGCAACUCGCCCACAUGAAGCUGGAAUCUGUAGUAAUCGUGUCUCAAAAUGGCACGGUGAAUAUGUCCCUGCUCCUU